rnacentral:rRNA from 1 species
UGGGGAAUAUUGCACAAUGGGCGCAAGCCUGAUGCAGCCAUGCCGCGUGUAUGAAGAAGGCCUUCGGGUUGUAAAGUACUUUCAGCGGGGAGGAAGGGAGUAAAGUUAAUACCUUUGCUCAUUGACGUUACCCGCAGAAGAAGCACCGGCUAACUCCGUGCCAGCAGCCGCGGUAAUACGGAGGGUGCAAGCGUUAAUCGGAAUUACUGGGCGUAAAGCGCACGCAGGCGGUUUGUUAAGUCAGAUGUGAAAUCCCCGGGCUCAACCUGGGAACUGCAUCUGAUACUGGCAAGCUUGAGUCUCGUAGAGGGGGGUAGAAUUCCAGGUGUAGCGGUGAAAUGCGUAGAGCUCUGGGGGAAUACCGGUGGCGAAGGCGGCCCCCUGGACAAAGACUGACGCUCAGGUGCGAAAGCGUGGGGAGCAAACAGG